rnacentral:lncRNA from 7 species
GCUAGGGCGGUUGCUACGGCGCCAUGUUGGGAAAGCGCGGCGACCCGGAAGCGCUUCCGGGGGCGGGGUUUCGCUUCCUGUGCGGCGGGGCCGGACCCGGCCGGGUUAGGAGGCAGGAAAUGGCGGCGGUGCUGCAGCAGCAGCUGCCGGGCCCUCCCGCUCCGCAGUGCCGGGCCCAGGCCGCCUAGAGCCGCCGCGCCAGCGCCGGGCCCGGGCCGCAGCUACGCCGGGCCGGACUCCGAGCACUUUACAUACAUGAGAGAGUUGGAAGCUAAAGCUACCAAAGAAGUCGAAAGAAAACUAAGCAGGGCUUUCCUGCCUCACUUAUGUGGAACUGAGAGAAGGUAAAUAUCUGAAAUACAUUUACAGUUUUACUCCUGAGCACAUGAGUUUGACUCUUACUUCCCAAGCAUGCAAAUCAUAGGAAGGGUUCACAGUACAGCAUUCAUUCAUCCGUUUCUGCUCCAUCUGCUUUGGCUGCAGGCUCUCUUGUGUUGUGGGGGAACUGACUUUACCUGGCAUCAUGUAUACCUGUAGAUCUCAUCCACGUAUUCUACUAAGUUUCUGCUACGUAAAUUUUUUUUUUCACUCUCCUGUGUUAGAUUAACAACCAUCUUUCCAUGAGGCUUUCCUUAUUUGCGUUAGAAAAAAGAUGAGAUGGCUCAACGAUUGAGGCAUAGGUAUGGGAAUCAGUGAGAAGUGCAGCAGUUUCUGCUGAUACUUGAGCACUUGAUUUUCUGUUUGUGUUGGGAGAGCAGGGUUUUUGUUUGAUUAUUUUUUUUUUCCAAUAAAAUUCUGUAGUCAAAUGGGAAGAGUUUAUUGCAAAGAGGCAGCAUCCUUUCAGAACCCUUAGAGAUGCAUAGGCAAAACGAUACACUGGGUGCUCAUCUACCUAAUAAGUGGGGUGCUUUUGCUUAUGGGUUCCCCAUAAGGCAAUUUGCUCUUACCAGACCCAUCCUGCAGUACACUUCUUGAAUCUGCGUUAAUAAUACUGAAGCUGUAAGGGAUGAAGAGCUGUAUGGUGAAGGUGGUAGACUGGAACAGUCAGCGUUCACGUUCAUGCCUCUGUUACAGAUAGCCUGUAUGACCAGUUUGCUUAAGGAGGAGCAGUUUAAUAGUUCUUUGCUUUCCCACUUGUAAUGAAGAUAGGGAUUGUUUAUUGCAGCUGCUGAAGUCUCGUAUAUUUGGGUGGCAAACUUGUUGGGAAAGAGUGUGCUUGUGUAGCAGUGAGCAUUAUAGACCCUAAUCUGGAGUGAAGCCUCAGGGACAAAACGUAACAAAAAUAUUGUUCUGGAAUUAUGGUGUAUUUUCAGUUGUUGUUGUUUGGAACGUGGUUCUGUUGAACCAGUUUCUGCAUGAGGAGAAUGGGAAAGGUGAGCGUAUUCCACACAGUUGUUAGUGGUAGAUGUGUUAGUUGAAUUUCUAUCACUUUUAUGGUGAUAAUUUGAAGGCUGUGGUAUUUUAAAAGUAAAAAAGAAGGUAGCUGGCACCCAUUUGCCAAUUAGUUACACAUCGAAGUAUCAGUUUAUAGCUUGGCAGCACCUCUUCUAUACAUUAAUAGCUGGAAAGAACACAGAUGCAACAUGUCUAAUUCAGCGGUUUCCUUAUCAGUGGCUUUCUUUGCUCCCGUGUAAUGUGCUGGGUUUUUGUGAACUUCAAAGUAAUGGCUUCUGUGCUAUGAACUUGGAGAGUGUUCCUUUUGUUGUGAUGCACUGUUUUGCGGGAAGCAUUAAUAAGGGAAUUAAAGGAUCAAUUUUUAGCUAAAACACACCUUUUCUUAUUGCUUCUUAUAUAGAAAAGUUAGCUACUGGCUUUUAGAAACUGAGAAAUAAUUCGAUUGUCAGCUGUGUGUGAUUGCACUAUUAAAAUAUAUUAGUGAACUAUUAGGUCAGGAUACAGCAGAAAUACAAAUGUUCUAAGUUUUGGCAGUAUGUUUGGAGGUCUGUAUGUAAUGCCAACACAUGGGGUAUGUAGUACAUGCUACGUGCUUAGUGCCUUUGCAGAACUAUAAACGUUUUUUCAGUUCCAUAUUCUUAUGUGUAAUUUUCUGUCAGUGUUCCACCUGUAGUGUUGCAGGUUAAUUUACAACUAGAAGAUAAGCAAAUGGUGGAUUAAAAAUAAAAACUUUUUUUUUAAAAAAGGAUAUAUCACUGUAAGUUUUAGAGUGGUUUCAAAACUGUAUAUGAUCACUUCUAAUCACAUUUACGUUUAAUAGUGUAGUCAUGAACUUAGAGAAGGCAGAAUCCAGAAAUACUUAAGGCAGAAGCUGAUGUCUGGUGAUGCAGCAUCCUGAGUGAUGCUAUCCUCUCAAGAAGUGGGCUGAUGGAUUUUGUUUUACAUUCAGGUAUUUAUUAAUAAUCUUUUCCCUUCAGGUAUUAUCUCAGGGCCACCAAGGGCUGGUUGGUCCCCUGGUCUCCUUCCUGCAGUGUGAGGUGCCCCUGGGAGCCCCCCGCUGGCUGGGAACAGUAGGCACACAGUGUGCUUAGUGCAGGGACAGAGCGCUCCAAAAACUUCAGCUCAGCGUUCAUAGAGCUUCAAAUUCAACCAAAGAGGUAACACCUCUGGGAGAAGCCCUGCACAGCCUCACUGCUUCUAAAAGCAUUUUCCACUCUUGUUAACGGUGUCUUAAAAAAUGUGCUAGCACCAUCUUGUGGGGCAGUGAGACUUAAAUUGGGUUUGAAAGUGAGUUCAGGAGGUAUCUGCUUGGCAAGCAGAUGCUGUGUGAGCAUCUGUAGCAGUGCUGACAUCUUCAGAAGCAUUUGAAGGAUGAAUUCUAACUGCUCGCGUUAGCUUGAAGUAUCUGAAAGCCCAAUUAAUGCAAUUCUCUUACAGAAGUAGUUUGGUUCUGGUGAAUGCUGGAUAACUGCUGUUAGUGGUGAGGUGGCAUGUUGUUUUCUUUUAGCAUUGACAUUUGUUGUGUGUGUGCACUGUGUGCUUUUUGCUCUGAGAUACUGUGUUUGUAAUAAUGCAGAGAGAGUCUUAGAUCUUAAUUUGUGUCAAAAUUCUUCCUGUAACCGUGAUUCCCUCAGUAGCGUGACAAGAAUUGUAAUUUUAUUGUGGCGUAACAUCUUCCCUUUUGUAAAUUAUAAGAGCAAAGAUAGCAUGCUGUACAAACAUUAAUCACUGAAUCCUCAUUAUGUCUUCCAGAAAAAAUACGAGUAUGCUUGAUUUUCCUGUAGUGUAAGAACAGAAACUAAACGUGUCUAACUCUCUUCUCUGUUUUGGCACGGACAGUUUUGCAGUGCCAGGCUGGAGCUUUUUAACCUUGACAUUGUUAGAACCUUUUGGAAGAAUUAAAGUUAUAAGUAAAAUAUGAUUUGAUGUAAGUAGAAUUUGGGCUGUUUACAUUAGGAACAUUACGACUGCUUCAGAUUGCAAAUAACACGUGAAGCCAAAGAGAAAAUAAAAUGUAAAGUUAGCACUGUCGUAACUUAAAGAAAUAGUAAUGAAUGCUGACUGUAGAGGUCAGAAGGUAGCUGCUCUCCACAUAAAUGGCACAGUGAUAAUAGGAAUGAACUGGAAGACUUGAUCUCAUGUCACUCAGAAUCUCGAGGCACUUCUCUGUCUUGUAAAAGUGAUGCAGCCAUUUGAGAAGAUAACCAGUUGUUGGUUGUUUUGCUUUGUUUUGUUUGUUUUUAAUGGCUUAAAUGAGUGAAAGAGUUUUGGUAUGUUUUUCUCCUUACACAGAUGAGAGCUGUGCUGAGUGAGGUGCAGUUACAAGGUGGGCCAGACGUGCUUCUGCCAGCACUGUCCCUGUACUGUCAAUGGGAUAAACCUACCCAGAUGCAGGGAAGAGCUCAGCGAGGGAAUUUAUUCAUCUUCCAUUUUUGUCCUAUUACUUAUCUCUGUGUUUCAUGUUAGGUACUACAAAGUAUUGCAAAGCUGUUGACUGCUUGUAGACAGUUACCUAAAAUUUGAGUCCCAAAUAGGACUAGGGAGCUAUUCAAGUGCAGGAAGGUGCAAGGGAAAUACUGUGUAAUGCUUCUGUUUCUCCGGAUGUAGCAUUAAAAUAUAGCUUGUUAGUUGUAUGUUUCAAUGGGUGUUGGGAUUGGGUAUGUAACCCGUGGCACUUGGUGUCUGCUGAUAGGGCUGUGCAUUUAUGUGUUAGAAAUGAAAGAAACUUGCUCUUUCAGCUGUUGGAGGUGGAAACUUAGGAGUCUGCUUUAGACUGAUAGCUUAAUAGGAGAAUUAAAUUUGUAUUUGAAAUUUAAGUAAGAGGGUAGUGGUAGUAGCAGUACCUUCCUCAAAAAAUUGACAUUUUUAACAAAGAGGAUAGGCAGUAAGGGCUUUACUGUUAAUUAACUGCACAGUGGGUCGGUUUUGCUUUUCAGCCACUGAGACAUAACGUUAUAACGGUAAUCCAAUGCUCUUUUUAGGAACUACCUAUGGAUAGGCAGUGUGUGGGCUGUCGGGGGCCCUGAUGCAUACUAAUCAUGUGUGUGUUUUGAGCCGACUUUGUCGUGUAAAGUCAGUUUAAAUACAUGAAAAUGCAAUGAUCAGUGUUGUAAUUUAGGAAUUCUAUUGUUCCUAUAUGGAAACAGGAAAACAGUGCUGUGGUAGAGUAAUCCAGAGGUAACUGUGUGUUGGUUGGUAACAGUUAUGUUCUAAAAACGUAAUCAUUUUGACUUAGUUGUAGCAGGACUGAUGAGUCAUUUUUUUUUUUGCUGUGAAAAUCCUACUUUGCAUAGUGUGUGCUCUUACAGUGCUGCAACUUUAUUCUAAACCCUGAAUGAUUUCAGUUUGCACGUUCUCAGGGUGCAAGGUGAGGAUGGGCAAAAUGUGUCACAUACAUAGCACACAGAUGUCACCGCAGGUUAAUCAUUACCCCAAAUCUGCACGGCAUCCAAGGGAUUGCUUUAAAGCAAACUGGCACGCUGUGAC